GAUGAACGCUAGCGAUAGGCUUAACACAUGCAAGUCGAGGGGCAGCAUGGUCUUAGCUUGCUAAGACUGAUGGCGACCGGCGCACGGGUGCGUAACGCGUAUGCAACUUGCCUCACAGAGGGGGAUAACCCGUCGAAAGACGGACUAAUACCGCGUACACUUGGGAUAGGGCAUCCUGACCCAAGGAAAUGAAAUUCGCUGUGAGAUAGGCAUGCGUCCCAUUAGCUAGUUGGUGAGGUAACGGCUCACCAAGGCGACGAUGGGUAGGGGAACUGAGAGGUUGAACCCCCACACUGGUACUGAGACACGGACCAGACUCCUACGGGAGGCAGCAGUGAGGAAGAUUGGUCAAUGGGCGAGAGCCUGAACCAGCCAAGUCGCGUGAAGGAUGACUGUCUUAUGGAUUGUAAACUUCUUUUAUACGGGAAUAACAAGAGUCACGUGUGGCUCCCUGCAUGUACCGUAUGAAUAAGCAUCGGCUAACUCCGUG
rnacentral:rRNA from 1 species